UCAUUCAUGGCAAUCCAAUGAGAAUGAGGUCCAUCAAACCAACGACUCAGAUGGCGUCAUGCAUUGCGCAUGCUCUACGCCCACCGGAUGCAGAAGAGUCCGUUGAGAGUUAACGAGCGCACGUGGAGUUACUCCUUUGGUAUACUUGACAGUAAGAAAUACGUCGAAAAAUAAAGCCACAUUCUCUGAGAUUCUUAUACCUCCUCAACAAUACAUGAUUGACAAGGAAUUCCUGCGCAUAUUGACAGUACCGCUGCUAUCUACAUUCUUUUCUGAGCUAGACUUGUACACUUCAUGCAUGAUGAAGAUCUUUAGAAGCAAAGGUGGAGGGCUGGAAGAAAAAUGAGACGCAUCAUGGGGACCAUCUCCAAGGAUGACACAAUACAUACAAGACGAGCAUCCAUCCUGAAGUCCUUCUGUGACUACGACACCGUGAGAAACUUGUGAAGGAAUAUACGGACACAGAGGCCAACACUGAAGCCAUAGAACAAACUGUGAUGGGAGUGUAUGUCCAACAGCAGGAGGGCAUGGAGCCUGGAGAUGACCCAGAGAACAUCGGUGUCCUGGGUCCUACAAUGCAAAUUUGUGUUUACCUUUUAAAGUUCAAAAUUGGAAGUUAUAAAAUGUUCAUAAGGACUAUGUGGUUUGCUCAAUGGACAUUAGAAAAAGAUUGUUGGGUCAUAAGUUAAAGUCUCAUACACUUGCAGUGUAAACACUGAUUUUUGCAAGAUGGGCAAUUGUUACAAAGGAAAAUGUACCCACAGGUUUUCACAAAUUGUUUGACUGGAGCAGUUGUUCUCAAACUUAUUAAAUGUUUUCUCCGCACAUUAAA